rnacentral:rRNA from 1 species
UUCGCAAUGCCCGAAAGGGUGACGAUGCGACGCCGCGUGCGGGAAGAAGGCCUUCGGGUUGUAAACCGCUGUCGGGAGUUAAGAAAUGUAAGGAUGUUAAUAGCAUCUUUGCUUGACUAAGGCUCCGGAGGAAGCCACGGCUAACUCUGUGCCAGCAGCCGCGGUAAUACAGAGGCGGCAAGCGUUGUUCGGAAUUAUUGGGCGUAAAGAGCACGUAGGCGGCUAUGUAAGUCGGUUGUGAAAGCCUUCCGCUCAACGGGAGAACAGCAUCCGAUACUGCAUGGCUUGAGUGCGGGAGGGGAGAGUGGAACUUCUGGUGGAGCGGUGAAAUGCGUAGAUAUCAGAAGGAACGCCGGCGGCGAAAGCGGCUCUCUGGCCCAUAACUGACGCUGAGUGUGCGAAAGCUAGGGGAGCAAACGGGAUUAGAUACCCCGGUGGUCCUAGCUGUAAACGAUGGGCACUAAGUAGAGGGGUUUU